UCCUUGGUGGUUCAGUGGUUAGGACUCUGCAUUUCACUGCAAGGGGCAUAGGUUCGAUGCCUGGUCAGGGAA
rfam:TPA: Bos taurus chromosome 13, whole genome shotgun sequence.